rnacentral:tRNA from 1 species
GCUGGGGCUCAGUGGUAGAGCACUUGCCUGGCAUGUGUGAGGCACUGAGUUCGAUUCUGAGCACUGCA